AGCAAAGUUCCCUUUUUUCUCAAUUUCUUCUGUUCUCUAAUAAUAAAAAGUAGUUGUCUCCAUCUUGAUUCCAUUAUAUAUUUAAACUGCUUCUGUUUCAAUUAUUGCGCAUGUGUGUAUGUAUUUGAAUUGAUAGCUUAGACACAAAAUUGAGGUACUCGAGCACAGAUAAAAAAAUGGGAAUUUCCUCAAGAUUCCAAAUGGACAGGCCAUUCUUGAUUGCUCCUUAUGAGAAAGCAAAGAUCUGCAGGAGUCAAGAGUGUACCCAAGAGGGUGUUCGUGCUGGCGCCAAGGCUGCUGCAAUUGCAUGUGUUUCUAGUGCUGUUCCAACAUUGGUUGCUGUCCGAACAAUUCCUUGGGCGAAGGCAAACCUCAACUACACUGCUCAGUCUCUUAUUAUAUCUGCUGCCUGUAGGGGCGAGGUCUGCGAGGAAGUCGGAAGGAGUUGAGGAGACGCGCAUACUCUUAGUCUCGCACCCACCGCCCAAGCUGCUUAGAGUCCAAGCGUCACCGACUCGCCGGUUGCAUCUAUGCCAUAAUAACCACUAGGCCUUUUCAACGAUAAGAAUGGAGUCCAUAAAAUCUCAGAAGCAAACUUCAAAUCCACCAUUCACACUCAUAGAUGACAAACUGCAAUUUCACCGGCCCUAUUUGCAAAUCUGCUAUAGCAACCACCAGGCCUUCCGCCUUUGCUUAAUCACCUUCACCGGGCCUUCACCUAAUCGCCUAAUGCCCUAAUCUGCAAAGGGAUUGAAGGCACAUGUUUACUUGUCAGGCAAAAUAAAGAUUUUUGAUUAACUGAUUCACAAGUGCAAAUGCUUCACAGGCUUGAUGGUCUCAAGUUGGUGAUGACGAAAGAUGAUCUGGGCUGAAACCACAAGAAGACACAGGGGAGUUAGGGAGGAGCUUCAACUUCUGACAAACAACGAAGUCACACAUUAUCUCUUCAAGAAUCCUUUAUGGCUUACAAAUUGGCUACGGUCUACCUAAGGCUCAAGGAGUUCGGUCAUAUUAAUUGUUUGGUAAACUUGAAGUUGUUAUGAAUGAAGAGUUGGGUAAUCCAUCUUGUGGUGCCCCUCCAGAUGUAGGAAUGUUUAUUUCGUACUGGUUAACAAACUCUCUGUGUUGAUCUAUUGUCUUUCUUGCUUUCUUUUAUUUUGUCAUUUGCGCCAAACUUUGCACUACUCUACGAACUAGUUCUAGACAGGGUUCAGUGUUGAACGUUGUUGCGAAAGUUGAGUGAGUUACAACCCUCUUAUAAAUUUUAAUUGGUAUCAUAGCGUGUUCUAAGAA